GUCCCUCUCAGAGUACUGUUGGAUGGUUUUCAAGUGAUGGGAUGCCAAAAGGGAACAGUGGAGAUCUUGAUGCUGUGGAGGGUAAAAGUGACAGCAAUGUUCUGCCUGAGACCACAGGAUCCUUCUGGAGGUAGGUGGGCAAUAGUCUGCAGAUCCCAGUACUACUGAUGGAGUGAAUUCCAGGGGGAAGGAUGGUCACAGGAGUAAGAGCCACACCCUCUUCUUCUCCCCUCCCCUCCCCCUGCCCCCACUUUUCCUCCUCUUGAAGAUUUUGAUUUACAUCAAGGUAUGCAAAAUCACGGCCACACAGAGCUCACCAAGCAAACAGCCUUGCACUGUAGCACACCCCUGCCCAAAGCUUGCUCUGAUCAGUGCUUUAAACAUUGUAAACGGGAAGAAUCAAUAGAAAGUUUGAGUGAUUCCUGGUGGAAACGAUACAGUUACUGUACCAAAAGUAUUGUGUGAGAAGUACUGAGUGCCCCAGGGAGGAUGCCUGGAGAAGAUACCCAUCUCAGGAUGUCUCCUACCACCUCUCUUUCCAACUUUCCACUGGGAAAACUUUCCAGCUCUCCAUUCCCUCACUGCCCCUCCUAUCUUAUUUUUUCUUCUCUCUUCUGCCCCCUAUAUACAUUUCACUGUCAUUACUGAUGCACGCUAUGGACCCUGUCCAUAAUAAAUUUUCGUGCAUGUCAAUUUGUGUCAACAUCCUCUGUGCAACACAUUGAUUCAAACACAUAUAUUCUCAGCUAUUUAAAUAAAUAGAAUAAUUAAACACAAACUUGGGCCCAGAACUGAAAGGAAAUAGUAAGAUUCUGAGCCAGCAGGUAACAUUCAGCUGUACGCAGAGGUGCCUACAUGAAAUACGGUAGGUUGUAAGAUGUCACCUGUUCAGUAGCUCUGAAUCAAGUACUCAAGGUGAACACCGAUGCAAAACAUCCUCUCUCAAUAUUAACAGCAACACAAGAUGGAGUUCCAGUACCCCAAAAGUCAUUCUCAAGUCAACAUCUGUGCAUUUUAACCUAUCCCUACAAAUCCUGCUAGUCUAGUACUAAGCAGCUAUGCUGCUAUUGCAGCUCUUCAAGGCACACAGCCUUCAACAAUGGAAGAUGCCCAUGCUAUUUUCCUUAAUACACUUCUCACAAUUAGGGAAAUAGUUAUCCAAUUACCUCCUAAUAGAUUAACCCUGUUGCAUGAUUAACAACUUGCCAUAGUAUGCAUAGAACAUUUUAAGAACUGAAAACACAUAUUCUACCAAGCAGUUGCAGGUCUGUGGUGUCCAUUAGUACUUAUCAGCAUCACCAGUAAGAACUGGGAGUUCCAGAGUGUAAACUACACCAACCAAUGAGAGAUUUCCCAUUAACUCCAAGUGGGACAACAUCCUGUUGAUAACUUUCGUCAUGUGACAGUAGUAGUGAAAAAUUGAUGUGGAACUCCUUGGAACUCCUUGUAUUCUAUGCAAGCUUUAAAACAAAAUUAAAUAAAACCAUUUAAAAUAAAAUGGUUAAUAGUCAAUUUAUUCUUAGAUACAGGUAUAGAAUUUACACAACAACACACAAGAAAUGUUGUUUAAAGACAUAUGAGUUUAAAUGACAUAGGUCUAGGAGUUCUCAUAUUUAUCUUUGCAUUUGAGAGUGAGUAUGGCAGCAACUGGGGUUGAAAACUAAAAACAGAAACUCUGAUACCUAACAAUCAUUGUUCCAAAUCACUGUCAAAGAUACUACACCACAUCUGAAACUAAGAUACACCACAAAGAUACACCACAUCUGAAAACUAAGAAGGAUAAUUUUGUGAACAGCAGGAAGUAAGGUGCUGAAAACUACUGUCAGUGAGUAAAACAAAAACUAUUAUUCUACACUUAUAGACUAUAUUCUUUAUACAUAGUUUAAUUUAGGUUAACUCACCAGUUUGGAAGGAAGUGAUGCAACUUGAAAUGUAAAAUCCACGUACAAAAAAGUGUUGGCAUCUGUUAGCUUGCCCUAUUCCCCUUGUAUUCCAUUUUAAGUAAAAGUUAGUGAUCUGGAAUUGAAGCUGGAAGUCAGUGCCAAAAGUCUUUUCCUUUAGUUUCCUAUAACUCACAUUUCAUCUAAUGGUUUCUCAAAAUAAACAUGCAUAAAGCAUAAUUAUGGCCUAUUAUUGCUAAAAUAGCUCAGCAAAAUUUAAGAUCCUCUUGUUUGGUAGUCAUGUUACUGGUACCAUCAGCUCCAACCAUUUAUACAUACUGUCAAUUAAAAUCAAGACUUCAUCCUUCCUUUCUUGUGAAAUGCUGACCAUUCUGGAAGCUACUGAAUAUUUUUACCAAGCACUUUUAUCCCAAGUUUUCAAAUCAUCAAUGGUUACUCCCUAUCACAUCUCAGAAGCUAGGAGUCACAGUGCCAUGGGAUUUUGCCCUGUUGAGUAAUAUCAAAAGAAAAUGAUAAUGGCUAUAAAGAAAGGAAUUAAUAGCAAAAAUUUGUGUGCUGUCUAUGAUGCCAAGGUAGACUUCUGUAACCCUUGCCUCAUCAUUCAGGACUGUAAUUUAUUUCAGAGAAGAAGGGUCCAUUCUCAUUUAUUCUAGUUCCUUCAGACGCUUCUCUGGAAGAACAUCUGAGGCAUACUCAGAACUUGUAUUUUAAUCUGAAACAAAACUGUGUCCUCAGUGCAAGCAUAUUACCUGUUUAACACUGAAACUUAAGUGUAGGGCCCUGACUGGAAUCAGGGAUGUUAUAUCAACUCAAACACAAAGAAUGCAAUAGGAAAUCAGAACCCUGACUGAAAGUUUGCUAGAUAGCCCAUCUGUUACUUUUUUCUUUUAUUUUUUUUUAACACUGUGAAACUUACCAAUGGAGUAAUAAUGAAAUAAAAAUUAAAAAGAAGCUCUUCUGUUUGCAAAUAUUAUGACAAAAUUUUCAGUGGAAUGAAGAAAAUAGAGUGAAGUCUGGGGUUUCUAGUAGUCCCCGUUCUUGUCUCAUUCUAUGUAGGUUGCUCCUUCUAUUUUUUUCCACAAAAACUAGAAGAGUUGCAAAGAUCAUGAUAACACUAUUUGAUAGAGCAAAUUGUCAACUACGAAACACUAUUUUUCAGCAUAGUCAUCACCAUAAUCUAUGCAUUUUCACUGGUGAUGAAUAGGAGCCUGCACGCUGCACUCAUAAAAAUCUGCUGUAGAAGAGGUGACCCACUAUUUCACAGCUGCUAUGAUGGCAUA
ensembl:lncRNA